GAUGAACGCUGGCGGCGUGCCUAAUACAUGCAAGUCGAGCGAACAGACGAGGAGCUUGCUCCUCUGACGUUAGCGGCGGACGGGUGAGUAACACGUGGAUAACCUACCUAUAAGACUGGGAUAACUUCGGGAAACCGGAGCUAAUACCGGAUAAUAUAUUGAACCGCAUGGUUCAAUAGUGAAAGACGGUUUUGCUGUCACUUAUAGAUGUAUCCGCGCCGCAUUAGCUAGUUGGUAAGGUAACGGCUUACCAAGGCAACGAUGCGUAGCCGACCUGAGAGGGUGAUCAGCCACACUGGAACUGAGACACGGUCCAGACUCCUACGGGAGGCAGCAGUAGGGAAUCUUCCGCAAUGGGCGAAAGCUUGACGGAGCAACGCCGCGUGAGUGAUGAAGGUCUUCGGAUCGUAAAACUCUGUUAUUAGGGAAGAACAAAUGUGUAAGUAACUAUGCACGUCUUGACGGUACCUAAUCAGAAAGCCACGGCUAACUACGUG
rnacentral:rRNA from 1 species